CCUACGGGAGGCAGCAGUGGGGAAUUUUGGGCAAUGGGCGAAAGCCUGAUCCAGCCACGCCGCGUGUGUGAUGAAGGCCUUCGGGUCGUAAAGCACUGUGGGGAGGGAAGAACAGGCAGCGGGAACAAUACCCCGUUGCUCUGACGGUACCUUCUUAGCAAGCACCGGCUAACUCCGUGCCAGCAGCCGCGGUAAUACGGAGGGUGCAAACGUUGCUCGGAAUUAUUGGGCGUAAAGCGCGUGUAGGCGGCUUACUAAGUCGGGUGUGAAAGCCCUGGGCUCAACCCAGGAAGUGCGCCCGAAACUGGCGAGCUAGAGUACGGGAGAGGGUAGUGGAAUUCCCGGUGUAGAGGUGAAAUUCGUAGAUAUCGGGAGGAACACCAGUGGCGAAGGCGGCUACCUGGACCGAUACUGACGCUGAGACGCGAAAGCGUGGGUAGCAAACAGGAUUAGAUACCCCGGUAGUCCUAGCUGUAAACGAUGGAUACUAGGUGUUGGUGGUAUUGACCCCAUCAGUGCCGUAGCUAACGCGUUAAGUAUCCCGCCUGGGGACUACGACCGCAAGGUUAAAACUCAAAUGAAUUGACGG
rnacentral:rRNA from 1 species